GUGGAUUAGAUACCCGAGUAGUCCACGCCGUAAACGAUGAGUGCUAGGUGUUGGGGGUCAAACCUCGGUGCCGCAGCUAACGCAUUAAGCACUCCGCCUGGGGAGUACGUACGCAAGUAUGAAACUCAAAGGAAUUGACGGGGACCCGCACAAGCAGCGGAGCAUGUGGUUUAAUUCGAAGCAACGCGAAGAACCUUACCAGGGCUUGACAUGCCCCUGACCGUCCUAGAGAUAGGAUUUUACCUUCGGGUACAGGGGACACAGGUGGUGCACGGCUGUCGCCAGCU
rnacentral:rRNA from 1 species